rnacentral:lncRNA from 1 species
AGGACAUCUCCCCAAGAAUUAUCUAAGUGACUGAUGAAUCAGAGGGAUACCUAAAUACAAAAACUGAGUGAAAACACCAAAGGAUGAGCCAAGUUUGCCAAUGAUAGAGAUGAUAUCCUACUCAUAUUUGCUCUGAAGCAACUAAUACAAUGCUUCAUACAUGGUUCCCUCUUGUGAUGUUCAUCUUAAGCUGACUUUUUCCAGAUACAAAUGUUGUGGGUGGCAGCAGAAAAACCCAGCACCUGGGCUCACAUAGUGCUUAUGCCCAGUCUCAAUCUUGAUGCACAUGCACCCGUGUGUACUUCCCCUGUCUGUCUAAUAUCACUGAGUUUCCUUAUGACUUCAGUUCUUAAAAGCUUCAUCACCAUAACAUUA